AUUGAACGCUGGCGGCAGGCCUAACACAUGCAAGUCGAACGAGUGGCGGACGGGUGAGUUAUGUCUGGGAAACUGCCUGAUGGAGGGGGCUAACUACUGGAAAAGGUAGCUAAUACCGCAUACCGUCAGUUGUGCACAGAUGGGAUUAGCUAGGUGGUGGGGUAACGGCGCACCAAGGCGACGACCCCUAGCUGGUCUGAGAGGAUGACCAGCCACACUGGAACUGAGACACGUUCCAGACUCCUACGGGAGGCAGCAGUGGUGAAUAUUGCACAAUGGGCGCAAGCCUGAUGCAGCCAUGCCGCGUGAAUGAAGAAGGCCUUCGUGUUGUAAAGUACUUUCAGCGGGGAGGCGUUACCCGCAGAAGAAGCACCGGCUAACUCCGUGCCAGCAGCCGCGGUAAUAC
rnacentral:rRNA from 1 species